AUUGAACGCUGGCGGCAGGCCUAACACAUGCAAGUCGAGCGAGUGGCGGACGGGUGGGUAAUGUCUGGGAAACUGCCUGAUGGAGGGGGAUAACUACUGGAAACGGUAGCUAAUACCGCAUACCAUCGGAUGUGCCCGGAUUGGAUUAGCUAGUAGGUGGGGUAAAGGCUCACCAAGGCGACGAUCCCUAGCUGGUCUGAGAGGAUGACCAGCCACACUGGAACUGAGACACGGUCCAGACUCCUACGGGAGGCAGCAGAGGGGAAUAUUGCACAAUGGGCGCAAGCCUGAUGCAGCCAUGCCGCGUGUAUGAAGAAGGUCUUCGGGUUGUAAAGUACUUUCAGUGGGGAGGCGUUACCCGCAGAAGAAGCACCGGCUAACUCCGUGCCAGCAGCCGCGGUAAUAC
rnacentral:rRNA from 1 species